GCUACUAUGCCAGCUGGUGGAUUGCUCGGCUCAGGCGCUGAUGAAGGACGUGCCAAGCUGCGAUAAGCUGUGGGGAGCCGCACGGAGGCGAAGAACCACAGAUUUCCGAAUGAGAAUCUCUCUAACAAUUGCUUCGCGCAAUGAGGAACCCCGAGAACUGAAACAUCUCAGUAUCGGGAGGAAAAGAAAACGCAACGUGAUGUCGUCAGUAACCGCGAGUGAACGCGAUACAGCCCAAACCGAAGCCCUCACGGGCAAUGUGGUGUCCGGGCUACCUCUCAUCAGCCGACCGUCUCGACGAAGUCUCUUGGAACAGAGCGUGAUACAGGGUGACAACCCCGUACUCGAGACCAGUACGCUGUGCGGUAGUGCCAGAGUAGCGGGGGUUGGAUAUCCCUCGCGAAUAACGCAGGCAUCGACUGCGAAGGCUAAACACAACCUGAGACCGAUAGUGAACAAGUAGUGUGAACGAACGCUGCAAAGUACCCUCAGAAGGGAGGCGAAAUAGAGCAUGAAAUCAGUUGGCGAUCGAGCGACAGGGCAUACAAGGUCCCAUGACGAAUGACCGAGACGCGAGUCUCCAGUAAGACUCACGGGAAGCCGAUGUUCUGUCGUACGUUUUGAAAAACGAGCCAGGGAGUGUGUCUGUAUGGCAAGUCUAACCGGAGUAUCCGGGGAGGCACAGGGAAACCGACAUGGCCGCAGGGCUUUGCCCGAGGGCCGCCGUGUUCAAGCGCGGGGAGCCAUGUGGACACGACCCGAAUCCGGACGAUCUACGCAUGGACAAGAUGAAGCGUGCCGAAAGGCACGUGGAAGUCUGUUAGAGUUGGUGUCCUACAAUACCCUCUCGUGAUCUAUGUGUAGGGGUGAAAGGCCCAUCGAGUCCGGCAACAGCUGGUUCCAAUCGAAACAUGUCGAAGCAUGACCUCCGCCGAGGUAGUCUGUGGGGUAGAGCGACCGAUUGGUGUGUCCGCCUCCGAGAGGAGUCGGCACACCUGUCAAACUCCAAACCUACAGACGCUGUUUGACGCGGGGAUUCCGGUGCGCGGGGUAAGCCUGUGUACCAGGAGGGGAACAACCCAGAGAUAGGUUAAGGUCCCCAAGUGUGGAUUAAGUGUAAUCCUCUGAAGGUGGUCUCGAGCCCUAGACAGCCGGGAGGUGAGCUUAGAAGCAGCUACCCUCUAAGAAAAGCGUAACAGCUUACCGGCCGAGGUUUGAGGCGCCCAAAAUGAUCGGGACUCAAAUCCACCACCGAGACCUGUCCGUACCACUCAUACUGGUAAUCGAGUAGAUUGGCGCUCGCAUUGGGUGGAAGCAGGGAUGAGAAUUCCUGUGGACCGAUGCGUGACGAAAAUCCUGGCCAUAGUAGCAGCGAUAGUCGGGUGAGAACCCCGACGGCCUAAUGGAUAAGGGUUCCUCAGCACUGCUGAUCAGCUGAGGGUUAGCCGGUCCUAAGUCAUACCGCAACUCGACUAUGACGAAAUGGGAAACNNUGUCCGUACCGAGAACCGACACAGGUGUCCAUGGCGGCGAAAGCCAAGGCCUGUCGGGAGCAACCAACGUUAGGGAAUUCGGCAAGUUAGUCCCGUACCUUCGGAAGAAGGGAUGCCUGCUCCGGAACGGAGCAGGUCGCAGUGACUCGGAAGCUCGGACUGUCUAGUAACAACAUAGGUGACCGCAAAUCCGCAAGGACUCGUACGGUCACUGAAUCCUGCCCAGUGCAGGUAUCUGAACACCUCGUACAAGAGGACGAAGGACCUGUCAACGGCGGGGGUAACUAUGACCCUCUUAAGGUAGCGUAGUACCUUGCCGCAUCAGUAGCGGCUUGCAUGAAUGGAUUAACCAGAGCUUCACUGUCCCAACGUUGGGCCCGGUGAACUGUACAUUCCAGUGCGGAGUCUGGAGACACCCAGGGGGAAGCGAAGACCCUAUGGAGCUUUACUGCAGGCUGUCGCUGAGACGUGGUCGCCGAUGUGCAGCAUAGGUAGGAGACAUUACACAGGUACCCGCGCUAGCGGGCCACCGAGUCAACAGUGAAAUACUACCCGUCGGUGACUGCGACUCUCACUCCGGGAGGAGGACACCGAUAGCCGGGCAGUUUGACUGGGGCGGUACGCGCUCGAAAAGAUAUCGAGCGCGCCCUAUGGCUAUCUCAGCCGGGACAGAGACCCGGCGAAGAGUGCAAGAGCAAAAGAUAGCUUGACAGUGUUCUUCCCAACGAGGAACGCUGACGCGAAAGCGUGGUCUAGCGAACCAAUUAGCCUGCUUGAUGCGGGCAAUUGAUGACAGAAAAGCUACCCUAGGGAUAACAGAGUCGUCACUCGCAAGAGCACAUAUCGACCGAGUGGCUUGCUACCUCGAUGUCGGUUCCCUCCAUCCUGCCCGUGCAGAAGCGGGCAAGGGUGAGGUUGUUCGCCUAUUAAAGGAGGUCGUGAGCUGGGUUUAGACCGUCGUGAGACAGGUCGGCUGCUAUCUACUGGGUGUGUUAUGGUGUCUGACAAGAACGACCGUAUAGUACGAGAGGAACUACGGUUGGUGGCCACUGGUGUACCGGUUGUUCGAGAGAGCACGUGCCGGGUAGCCACGCCACACGGGGUAAGAGCUGAACGCAUCUAAGCUCGAAACCCACUUGGAAAAGAGACACCGCUGAGGUCCCGCGUAGAAGACGCGGUCGAUAGACUCGGGGUGUGCGCGUCGAGGUAACGAGACGUUAAGCCCACGAGCACUAACAGACC
rnacentral:rRNA from 1 species